UGGAGGUAGCUAGCACAAGGCUGGGUAGCACUGAGCCUCGUGUUGUGCCCUGCGCUGCCCAGGCUAGCGAACAACACAGUCAGGAUGGCUACAGGUGAUCCCAAGAAGCCAAAGGGCAAGAUGCCUGCUUAUGCCUUCUUUGUGCAGACAUGCAGAGAGGAACAUAAGAAGAAAAACCCAGAAGUUCCAGUCAAUUUUGCAGAAUUUUCUAAGAAGUGUUCUGAGAGGUGGAAGACAAUGUCGGCAAAAGAGAAAUCUAAAUUUGAUGAGAUGGCAAAGGCAUAUAAAGUACGCUAUGAUCAGGAAAUGAAGGAUUAUGGACCAGCUAAAGGAGGCAAGAAGAAGGACCCAAAUGCCCCCAAAAGGCCACUGUCUGGAUUUUUCCUUUUCUGCUUGAAAUUCCACCCCAAGAUCAAAUCCACAAACCCUGGAGUCUCUAUUGGAGAUGUGGCAAAGAAGCUGGGCGAGAUGUGGAAUAAUUUAAGUGACAGCGAAAAGAAACUUUACAACAAUAAGGCUGCAAAGCUGAAGGAGAAAUAUGAGAAGGAUGUCGCCGACUAUAUAAGUCUAAAGGCAAGCUUGAUGGUGCAAAGGGUAUCAGUAAAGUUACCCAGAAAAAGGUGGAAGAAGAUGAAAAAGAGGAGGAGGAAGAGGAGAAGAAAGAAGAGGAGAGGAGAAGGAGGAUGAAUAAAAAAACUGUUUAUCUCCUUGUGAAUACCUUAGUGGAGGGGAGGACCAUAAUUGAUACAGCUCUUAUUUGA